GGCAGGACACAAACCUGAUAUUCCUUCAAAAACCAUUUGUUUUUGAUAUCUGAGAGAGGUAUACACAAUCUAUACAUGAAAUGAAAGCUUGUGAUCUGAGCAUUAAGAAAAAAAAUGAUGUGGUGAAAUUUAUGUGGACAUUUUCUUAUAAAAACGUUUUUAUGUCACACCAAUAAAGUCUGUAGAGAAACUCUGCCGUAAAAUGAGUCAUCAAGAAAACAGUACUACCAGUACUUCCUGCAGUCUGCUGAGACCACUUCCUGUCCUAGCAGUGUUGACAUUUGGAACUUGACAGCUUGUUAAAUCUUUUUCCAAAGAUUUUCAUUCGAAGCAUUGACAAGUCUUCAGAUUUCUUCAAUAUCAUUAUUGAGGUUAACUUCAAAGAGAAAUGGACUUAAAGGGGCCAAGUCCAAAAGAGUAAACAUUCAUCUGCCGAGUACUGCAUCAUAAUUAGUGCUCGAACAAAUUUAUCACCUGGAGAAUUACAAUCACUGCCCAAUUGAGCCAAGACGAUGUUUUUACCAGACUUGUGCAGUUGUUUGGAAAUGAUCUUUGUGGUCAGGAUUUGCUUUAUCAUAGAUGUUUCUUAGUGAAGAUGGGACUGUUCGACUUGUGCAUUUGCACGCAGAAAUGGUCUUUAGAAGACCAUUAUGUCUGACAGAUUGUCGUGAUGAUGUCACAAUGGCCAAGGUUCUCGCACAUCCCAUAGGAUCAGUUCCUACAUUACUUUUCAAUGAAGAUGGAUCAAGGAGGAAGACAUCCAAUGCCGAUUUGACAGACAAAUUAGAAGAAAUUGUACAGAAUAUUGACACUUUACCAGACUUUGACAAAAAGACACUGUCCACAUUCGCGAUACAAUGGCAAUAUUGAUAAGUAUGAAACCUGCCAUUCCCUCCGCGUUGGAUAGUGUUGCUGACAGUUAUAUGCAAAA
rnacentral:lncRNA from 1 species